AUACAGAGGGUGCAAGCGUUAAUCGGAAUUACUGGGCGUAAAGCGCGCGUAGGCGGUUUAAUCAGUCGGAUGUGAAAGCCCCGGGCUCAACCUGGGAACUGCAUUCGAUACUGUUAAGCUAGAGUAUGGUAGAGGGAAGUGGAAUUCCAGGUGUAGCGGUGAAAUGCGUAGAUAUCUGGAGGAACAUCAGUGGCGAAGGCGACUUCCUGGACCAAUACUGACGCUGAGGUGCGAAAGCGUGGGGAGCGAACAGGAUUAGAAACCCUAGUAGUCC
rnacentral:rRNA from 1 species